UAUUGUUACACUAACUAACGCCGU
rnacentral:siRNA from 1 species